rnacentral:rRNA from 1 species
AUGUUGGAGCCCAGGAGCCAGACGCCACCUUCGACGACGACUCCUACUACACCGGAGGUGCCUACUACUACGUGCUGCCCGCUGACGACGACCAGGAGUAGUUUAGGAGGAUCCCAGGCAGGAGGCCUGCGCCUCCUUCGAUUUGUAUCCCAGUUUGUGCUAGCCUUCUUAAGGCAAACUUGUUUAACUUAUGUUUGUACUCAGAUAUUGUUGCUUCCCUGA